rnacentral:rRNA from 1 species
AUUGAACGCUGGCGGCAGGCCUAACACAUGCAAGUCGAGCGAGCGGCGGACGGGUGAGGAAGGUCUGGGGAACUGCCAGAUGGAGGGGGCUAACUACUGGAAACGGUAGCUAAUACCGCGUACCACCAGAUGUUCCCCGAUGGGAGUAGCUAGUAGGUGGGGGAAUGGCUCACCUAGGCGACGAUCCCUAGCUGGUCUGAGAGGAUGACCAGCCACACUGGAACUGAGACACGGUCCAGACUCCUACGGGAGGCAGCAGUGGGGAAUAUUUCACAAUGGGCGCAAGCCUGAUGCAGCCAGGCCGCGUGUGUGAAGAAGGCCUUCGGGUUGUAAAGCACUUUCAGCGGGGAGGCGUUACCCGCAGAAGAAGCACCGGCUAACUCCGUGCCAGCAGCCGCGGUAAUUC